rnacentral:rRNA from 1 species
UACGGAGGGUGCAAGCGUUAUCCGGAUUCACUGGGUUUAAAGGGUGCGUAGGUGGGCAGGUAAGUCAGGGGUGAAAUCCCGGGGCUCAACCUCGGAACUGCCUUUGAUACUGGAGAUCUUGAGUCCGGAAGAGGAGAGUGGAAUUCCUGGUGUAGCGGUGAAAUGCGCAGAUAUCAGGAAGAACACCAAUGGCGAAAGCAGCAUCGUCUGGGACGGUACUGACGCUGAGCACGCGAAAGCGUGGGGAGCGAACAGG